UCCAGAGUAAACUGACCAGUUUGAGGCAGCUGACCUGAGAUUUUUCGAUUGGGAUGAAAGUGGGAAAAAAAUGGAGAUUGUAGAGCUUCCAAGUCACCCUUUUUUAUGUGGGAAUGCAUUUCCAUUUCAUGUACGGCCUCCUAGGUCUUAUAUUGGCAGCAAGUGGGACAGUUGCAAGCGUACGUUGACAAGCAGCAAAAUGGAAACUAGGACAGAAGUUGAUUUUCUUGGGUCAUCGGCUGAUACUUUUUCAUGGUACACUAGCUAGUUAGCAGUUUCAAUUUCAUACGUUUUGGAUUUAGGAAAUAUCAUUGGUGCACUACAGACAACACUAAAGGCACCCAUGAAACUGGUGGAUCCAGAAAGUAGAAUUCUGAGUAAUACACUUCGUUUUACUUUCUCUUUCGCAUGGCCAAGCGACAUGCUAGAGAUAGUUUGGAGGAGCUCUUGUAGUGUGAAUGAACAUUGGAGUAGGCAUGCAAUGGAAAUUCAGCUGUCCUUUGGAAGCUUUGUUGGAGAUCGCCCUUUCUUCUGUUCGAUCCGAAUUCAUUAACAUGUUUUGACACU